UACGGGGGGGGGCAAGCGUUGUUCGGAAUUACUGGGCGUAAAGGGCUCGUAGGCGGCCAACUAAGUCGGAUGUGAAAUCCCCAGGCUCAACCUGGGAACUGCAUCCGAUACUGGAUGGCUUGAAUCCGGGAGAGGGAUGCAGAAUUCCAGGUGUAGCGGUGAAAUGCGUAGAUAUCUGGAGGAAUACCCGUGGCGAAGGCGGGUCUCUGGGACGGUACUGACGCUGAGACGCGAAAGCGUGGGGAGCGAACAGG
rnacentral:rRNA from 1 species